rnacentral:tRNA from 1 species
GCGGCUGUGGUGUAGUCCGGUCAAUCAUUUCGGCCUUUCGAGCCGACCACCCGGGUUCAAAUCCCGGCAGCCGCA